AGCCACAAAUUUCUUGCAAGACAACCAUACGAGUCCUCACAUCAAGAGAAUAAAAAUCACCUACUGAAACGAGCACUGAACAGGCGACUAUCACCACCCAUAACGGCACUAAUACUCAUCAUAUGGGCUGUUCCUACACCCCCAAUCAAUUUGCACACGAACCACAAGCUAUCAACCACUUUACACGUUGAAGCCUUCAGGAUGUGAAAAUAAAGAACACAUGCAUGGCGUGAUUCAUCACAGCGGCUUCCAAAACCUCCGCUGCUCACAGGCACACAAAACCAACAAGCACCCAACCUUUCAACCCGAAAGGCGGACACACAAAUGGAGCUAAGAGCAAAGCAACUUCAUAAGAGCCAGGUAACUGUCAGCCUACAGUCAGCUCUGCAUGUCUAUACUACCGGGGAAGCUGCUACUCAUGUGAUGAGAAAA
rnacentral:lncRNA from 1 species